rnacentral:tRNA from 1 species
GAGGGUAUAGCUCAGUGGUAGAGUGAAUACUUAGCAUGCACGAGGUCCUGGGUUCAAUCCCAGUGCCUCCA